GAUGAACGCUGGCGGCGUGCCUAAUACAUGCAAGUCGAGCGAACAGACGAGGAGCUUGCUCCUCUGACGUUAGCGGCGGACGGGUGAGUAACACGUGGAUAACCUACCUAUAAGACUGGGAUAACUUCGGGAAACCGGAGCUAAUACCGGAUAAUAUAUUGAACCGCAUGGUUCAAUAGUGAAAGACGGUUUUGCUGUCACUUAUAGAUGGAUCCGCGCCGCAUUAGCUAGUUGGUAAGGUAACGGCUUACCAAGGCAACGAUGCGUAGCCGACCUGAGAGGGUGAUCCGCCGCAGGGGAACGGGGACGCGGUCCAACCCUCUGCGGGAGGCAGGGGGAGGAAAUCUUCCGGAAGGGGCAAAAGGCUAAAGGAGAAACGCCGCGGAAGUGAUGAAGGUCUUCGGAGCGUAAAACUCUAAUAUUAGGGGAGAAAAAAUGUGUAAGAAACUAGACGCUUAUUGACGGAACCUAAGAAGAAGCCCCGGCCAAACCCGGU
rnacentral:rRNA from 1 species